rnacentral:rRNA from 1 species
AGAUUAAGUUAUUAAGGGCGCACGGUGGAUGCCUUGGCACUAGAAGCCGAUGAAGGACGUUACUAACGACGAUAUGCUUUGGGGAGCUGUAAGUAAGCUUUGAUCCAGAGAUUUCCGAAUGGGGAAACCCAGCAUGAGUUAUGUCAUGUUAUCGAUAUGUGAAUACAUAGCAUAUCAGAAGGCACACCCGGAGAACUGAAACAUCUUAGUACCCGGAGGAAGAGAAAGAAAAUUCGAU